rnacentral:lncRNA from 1 species
AGUAAAAGGGGGAGGGCGGAAUGGAAAUUGCCAGCUUUUUGCUUUGAUAGUGCCUUGUCUCAUGUCUCAGCAGACUUCCUGCUGCUACAAACAAGGAUAUAGAGGUUUGGAGGAGGAGAGAGGAAGCUGACAGGAUAUUUUUCAACUUAAGCAACACAGCCUUGCAGGGCAGGACUGAUUCGGUCCUGCUACUUGAAAAGCAUUUUCAGUAGGAAGCCUGUGCCCUGUAGUUGAUACAUGGAGACUCAGGUAUAUGGGGAUUGAGGUGGAUUUAGGUGUGUUUCUGGGAACGCCCAGAGUUUGAGGCCUAUUUUAACAGUGUUACCCAUAUCAUUUGUAGGACUGGUAGGCUGAUGACUAGUAUCUUUUUCUAACUUGUGGUAUCUGGUUCUUUUCUUCAAUGAGGCUGGCUUUCGCUGUCUGGCAGGAGCUGUCUGUCUUGCAUCUGUACCACUGUCACUUGGUAAUGCAGUGCCCUCUGCUGGCCCCAGGUCACAAGAUUUCUGAAGAAGCUACCUCUGAUGAAGCAAGCAGGACUUUCUACUGUCACAUCCAAAUUGGCAUAUCUGCAGAAUGGGGUCGUAUAGAGGCUGCUGUACACACAAACCUCAGCACAGCAUGGAAAGAGGAAGAGAGGCAAAACAGUUCUCAUCCCAGCAAUUCAUCAUGGCGGAAAAUUCAUCCUGGGAGUCCCAAUCUUCUCCCACUAUCUCUUUCAAGUAAAGAAGGAAGCCUUUCCCUUUCUGAAGAAUUCAACCCACAAGACACAUGAAAUGACACUGCUUUUUCCAGCCAUCUUCAAGGAGCAAACAUUUCAAAGGUUGCCAUUCAAUGGAAGAAAAGGCUGUGUGAGACAAAGGAGCCUUGUACUGAUGGCACAGGAGUUUUAACUUCAAGACUCAAUCUGCAACAGAUUUCUUGGACAACCAUUGAUACCCAAUUCAUUUAUGAGAGUACCCAGAUCUCACUAAAAUCAGUGGAUAGACUUUGGUGGGCUUUGGGAUUUUGUUUCAGUGCCUCCACAAACUGAUGAAAGUGUUGCAUUAUGAGAGUGUAUAAGACUAAAUGAUAUUUUUUUUUUCAAAAGAUUUAGUUUAGAAGAGUAUAUAGGUCAGAAACUGAAGGACUUAUGUAUUGUAGCCUUAUACCCUCAUACUUACUCGCUGUUAGAGUUCCACUCAUAUCUAAUGCAGGAGCUUUUUGUGCGCUCUCACGGUGGCACGAGCACUGCUUUUGCACAGAGUCCUCCUCAAUUUAAUCAUUAGAUCUCCAUACCAUGUAUCUCCCUUCUUCUUUCUUCCUUUCUGGUCACAAUGUUAUGCUAGAGAUGAAUCUCCUAUAGUAUUUGAAUAUUUGAUAUUUACAUUGUCUUUCAUGUUGAUUCUCAUGUUAAAAGACCUCAAGAUAAGGAGAGAUGACCACUGAGGUGCUGUUUGUUUUUCCAUCUGAAUUUCUGUCUCCAUCAUCUCUACCUUCUCUACCUGUGAUUUUCUGGCAAAAAAAAAUAAACAAAAAAAAAAUUCUGUCUUCGGUUUGCUA